UCUUCGGAGACGUGGGUGGUCAAGCUAAUCCCGGGACGAGCCCCCAAAUGAAAGACUCCGAGAGGAGCCCCUCGCUCAGGCCUCAGGACAAUAGCGGACACCCAAGAACUCACGACAGACC
rnacentral:pre_miRNA from 7 species